rnacentral:siRNA from 1 species
CAUACAUGCCACAUGGUAUCG